rnacentral:rRNA from 1 species
CCUGCCCAGUGACUAUUAGUUUAACGGCCGCGGUAUUCUGACCGUGCGAAGGUAGCGUAAUCACUCGUCCUUUAAAUGGGGACAAGUAUGAAAGGUUAAACGAGGACUCAGCUGUCUCCCCUCCCCAGUCAGUGAAAUUGAUCUACCCGUGCAGAAGCGGGUGUAAAUAUACAAGACGAGAAGACCCUUUGGAGCUUUAGGUACAGGUAUUAACCGUGUCGGGUAAGUCAAUAAAAGACUCCCCUCCCACGGAACUAAGACCCUACCUUAGGUUGGGGCGACCAUGGAGAAGAAAAAAACCUCCAGGUGGAAUGGGACAUCCCUAGAACUGAGAGAGCCAUCUCUGAGUCACAGAAAUUCUGACCAAAAAUGAUCCGGUCAACUGACCGAUAAACGAACCAAGUUACCCCAGGGAUAACAGCGCAAUCCUCUCCCAGAGCCCAUAUCGACGAGGGGGUUUACGACCUCGAUGUUGGAUCAGGACAUCCUAAUGGUGUAGCCGCUAUUGAGGGUUCGUUUGUUCAACGAUUAAAGUCCUACGUGAUCUGAGUU